rnacentral:rRNA from 1 species
AGGGUUUGUUUUUUAGAAAAAGCAGAAAGCGUGUAGAGGUAAAACAUUUAAAAUAAAUAGAAUUUUUUUAGUAAUAGUGCAAUAUUAAAAGAAGAAAAAGAAUUUUUUAUGUGAAGACAAUUUAUUUUUUUCUUUAACACGAAGGUUCUGGGAGCGAACAGGAUUAGAGACCCUGGUAGUCGAUACAGUAAAAGAAAGUCGCUUGAGUAGUACGGUCGCAAGAUUAAAAUUCAAAAAACUUGGCUGUUCAUUGUUAUUUAGAGGAGCGUGUUGCUUAAUUCGAUAAUCCGCGAGUUACCUUACCAAAACUAGCUUUUACAGG